UUUGGUUUCACAAAACAAUUAUUCAUCAUUGUCUCUUUAAUGUCCCUUAUUGUUAUUAUAGUGAUUACAAAACAAUAAAGGGGACAGUUACAAUGGAGACCAAAGAUAUCCCAGGAUGGAGCACAAUAGUUUGCCUUUUCUUGGCCACUGAUGAAAUCUUUUCAUGUUGCGAAUCAUGAAGGAGUAAGUCCCCCCUCACACUUUUGCUGUCCUGAAACUGAUAGCUUCGUCUCAUGAAAACUCUCCUUUUUCAUGAAAUCAGAUGACUUCAGCAAUCGCAGCACAGGACACUUCAAGACUUCAAGAGAACCUCAACAGAUCUGCAAGCUGCAGCUUUAUGAAUUUACAGGAUCGCAGCAGGGAUGCGGGAGGAGGGGGUUUCAGACCUCCCCAAGCAAGGCUGAGAAGCAGAGGAAUGGGAAAGAUCAGUUUAAUAAUUACACUGAAUCCCCGGACAAGCCAGUAUAAUUGCAAGACCAGCUGGUUAUGAAGUGGCGGGUAGGGCUCUCGACUCUCAACAGGCUGCUGUACCUUUGAGCAUGAUACUUCACUUAAUGGUCCUCCAGGCCAUCACUGUCAAUGGAAAUCAUUUCUCAUCAUCAGUUCUCAAUUGACUCAUCAGAGAAAAAAAUGACAAAAAAUGUGCAGUUAUAGGUUGUUCAUACAGGGGAAAGGGGCAGGAAAAUGCUGGGUGCAAAGAUAUGAAAAGAGAAGGAUAAUAAGCUUGUGAAUCCAAGGUGCUGAGAAAAAUGCACUUUAGAAAAAAGGCUACAGUACUGAAGUAGCUAUUACAGACCAUUUUUCACAGAGAGGUCAAAGCUCCCAGUGAUUAGUGUCAGGGAACAAAAAUAUGUUUUUUUAAGGGUGGUACGGCGUGUGUUGAUUAGCUCUCCUGCCUCGCGGUUCUUACGUCCAGGGUUCGAUUUCCAGCUGGGGCAUGUUCUGUGUGCAUUUUCCACGUUUUGCCUCUGAGAACAUGAAUUUCCUUCAUGUCCUCUGCUUUUUGCAAAAAUUAAUUAGCAUCCCUAAAUUGUUCUUGGUUUCUUGUGUGCAAGUUUCCUGUGAUGGACUGCCAUCCGUCCCAGGGUGCGAUUCUGCAUUAUCGUCUAGGCUUCCAGGAUAGGCUCUGGGUUGCUGAGCAGUGCUUUUACUUCCAUGCUGUGAGGAUUCACCAGCUUCUUCCUAAGGGAAUGUGACGACCACAGAGUGUAUUAGAUUCCGAAAGUUAAACUGAGUUCAGUCCAUCCCAGCUCUCCCCACUGAAUGCAAUGUUGCAGACUGAGGCAGAUUUCUUUUUUAAUAUUUUCAAUACAAAUUAGUAUAAAGUAGAGGUGCUCUUUGCAGAUGAUCAGGUUAAUCAAACAUUUUAGGGCAAAGUCAGGUAAAGGCGUGGACCUCUGACCUUCUCAUUUCAGUGAUCACCGUGCAGACUCAGAGAGGAAAAAAAGCACAGCAGAUGUUUUUGUUGUCUGUUUGACUUAUUGCUCUAUAUUUUUACACACCAAAGUCCUGAAUAAUGAUUCAAAAGGCUGUCCAUCUGAAUACAGUAUCUGAUUUAUUUUCUUCAUGACUAAUUUGAGCUUUGAGGCAAAUAUGUAUGUAAAGCCUACAAAAAAAAGCUGAGAACAGCCUGUAAAAUAAACCCUCUGAAGCCUUUGAAGUUCAUCUUUUAAAUUAUCUUGGGGUAUUAGAUGUGACUCAUUUGGCGUUAGAAAAAAGAUGAUAACAAGCUGCAGCGAUGACUGAGUAACGAGUGAAGAAAGUAAAUGGCACAACAUGUACAAUUUUGUUCAAUUCCAAUACGGCUUAUGUGUCAAGGGAGAGCUGUGGCUCUUGAAUAUUCAUUUCUCCAGGAAAAGAAAUGCAGUUUCAGAGUGUUGCCUUUGGAGGCCGAUUGAUUUAAAAUCAGUUAUUAGAAAACAGUCCAUGUGAGGAUUUUAUUUUUUCACGGACCUCAAAUACCUUAACGCUGCAAAUGAUGCAAGUACUCUAACUUAACCUGUCCAACCUAGUAAGGGAAUUGUUUGCCCCUGGGCUGGGCCGAUUUUUGUUUAAAGGGGCCAAAAAACGUGAUUUAUCUAUUAGUGAUAAGAAAUAAAUAUUUCUGCUUCUGAAA
rnacentral:lncRNA from 1 species